rnacentral:lncRNA from 1 species
GCAGCAUCAAGUUAUUCAAGAAACAUGCAGAUUCUGAUCUUUCAUCGCAUCUAAUUGAGCUUGUGACUAGGAACAUCAAGGUGAACCAUUUCUUACCCUGUCGAUACAGCAAUAAUGCAGAAGAACAGAAGUGCAUUUGGAGAAAAGAAUGGCUGCCAAGGAAACAAAGAGAAUAUCAGUAAUGGUUACUUGCAACAGAGAUAACAUAUUAAUUGCACCUUUAUUUAAUUAUUUUACCACUUGAAAGGCAGAAGAAGAUAAGUGAAGUGCGCAGGACACCUUGUCAUCACUUUGUAUCCUUGCUAGUACCAGUUAGUUCCUUUAAAAGGCACAGGCUGGGUGUCAUUUACAGAAACCUGAAGAUUCCAUAGGAAAAAGUGGGAUAAGCACAGGUCGAAUAGUGGCAGAUAUAAUAUGAAUGAAGCCUAUAAUGAAUUGAAUAAACAUAUAUGGUGCCUU